rnacentral:misc_RNA from 1 species
CAGAGAUGGAUAUAAUAUCGGGUAGUCGGCUGGAUGGUCGGUUUCGGAUAACGUGAGAUAAAUUUGACACCGAGCCGGGUAUAAACAAGGAGAACGUAAUACCGGGUUUCGAGUAAACAAAUUCAAUAUUCGACUACACAGAACUGUGCGGAGUAUUACCGUUUGUUUUCAUAUCACUUGCGUCGAAUAAUGCUUUCCAUUCGUGUAUCUAUUCAAUUCGAAAGUGAAUGAGAGAUUCCCGUGAUUGAGAUUAUCCUAUAACGUACAAUAAUCAGUUACGUGAAUUAAAGGUGGCUGGAGAAGAUGCAACAAAAAUUAGCUACGCCUACAAUAACAAGAGCGGGAUUUAAAUUGUGUAGUUAUCAAACAAUUCAGUUACAAAACCCAUUUUCAAUACGUACCAUUACCCAGAUCUAUGUUUCCCGAAUGGGGUAAAAGUGAAACUAGUUAAGCAUUCUACAAGUUUCUACUACUUUUUACUAAAAUCAGUGAUAUUAGAUUAAUAUACCAGAUUUCAAGUGUGAUUUCAGUUACAAGCGUGAAUUUAGAAUUCAGCGUAAUAUCAGUGGAGUGAGAAAUCUUUCGAUUUCAAUGAUAUUCCAGUCGUGGAGUAGAAAGUUUUUAUUUCAGUGAUUUUUCGAUGGUACUUUGGUAUGCUGUUAAUACAAUUACAGUGAAAAUACAGUGUAAAAAAUUUUCAACUACAACGUGAAAUCCAAGUGUAAAGUAACUUCGGUUCGAUUUCGGUGGGACGGAAUCUAGCGGUGCUAGCAAGGAAAACGGGAUCUACGACUAGGAUACCCUUCCGUCGAUGGCCAGGAGGGUUUCCGGGAUUCGCGGGACGUGCUCCUCUUGCCGAGGUACCAGCGUCCACCAGGUUCUUUCCGUCACGUCGGCCAUGAUAUCUGACGACGAGGAGGUCGCUCGGCCAGGGUGCAGAGGGCUCGUCAAACUUGUCAUACUAACAACCUGCAGCCCUGGAGACCGUUGCCGGGAACCCUGGGUCAUCCGAUGGCGAAGAAUCUUACCCUGGUAGUCGGAGUAUUAUCAGAAGAGCCUUCGCAAACAAGGACGCUCCAGAAGAGGCGAUCGACGUUCUAGUAGAUUCUUUAUUGGAAUCAACCUUAAAACAAUAUAAUAGUUGCCUAAGAAGCUGGUGGGAAUUUUGCAGAUAGCACCACUACGAUAAAUUCGGAGCCACAGUCAAACAGGUGCUCCGGUUCUUAUCCAGGAAGUUUCAAGAGGGAGCACGAUGUGGUUCGCUGAACACUGCCAGAUCCGCAUAUCACUCAUUUUGUCACAUAGCAUCUCGGAUAACCCGAUCAUUAGCCGUUUCUUCCGUGGUAUCUAUAGAAAUCAACCUUCAAAGACCAAAUACGAGAGUACUUGGGACACAGAACCGGUCCUCGACUUGAUUGAAUCCUUGCAACCCGAGUGCUCGCUCACAAGUCAACAAAUGGCCGAAAAAACAGCAACGCUAUUGGCUCUGAUUACAGCCCACAGGCUUCAGACUUUUGAGCUGAUUGAUAUCGAUAACAUUUCAGUGUCCUCGGCAGGCAAUGCAAUGGAAAUUCCGGAUCUGAUUAAGACUUCUCGGCCGGGUCGAUUUAAACCAAGCCUGGUCUUGCCGUUCUUUAACAAUCGACCUGUCUUAUGCACAGCUAUGGCGUUGUUAGACAACGUCAACUUUACGGAAAGAUUGAAAGGAGACUGUAAAAAACUCGAGAUGAAGAGACCUUAUAAACCAGUAGGCGCCCAGACAAUUAGUCGGUGGAUAAGAGCCUUCAUACAGAAAGCGGGUGUAAAUACAGCAGUAUUCUCGGGCUACAGAGCCAGGCACGCAUCGUUAUUUGCAGAUUUCAGAAACGGCGUAGAUGUAGGCAUCAUCCGAAGGACGGCGGGUUGGACUCAGGGCUGAAAGGUUUUUGCCUGGUUUUACAAUCAACCGAUCCAGGCAGCCAGCGACAGUUUUGUGCUCUCUUUGAUCGAGUCUCGUACAGAUAAUCCUCAACAUGUUCCUACUUAGUUGGUCUCAGAACCUUACCUAAAAAAAAAAAAAAAAUACAGUGUGAACAAAAGAAGAAAAUAUCACAUUUUCUGAACAUCUACAAAUAUAAUCUCGAGAACGAGACUCGUGAUAUAAUUACAAGAUCACAUGAACUUACCUGUAAGUGACGUUCGAUCGGAUUUAUAUGGUGAGCCUCGUUCGAAGAUGAUUACAUUCCCAUCCCAAUUACACCCUAUUAUUAAAUAAUAAUUAAUUCCCCGUAAUCAUCUUAGAACAACCUGUGACUAUUUUUCCUUUUAUUUGCUCUAAACACAAAGCUCUGAAAAAUAUAACAAGUCGGGAACGCUGCUGCCCAGUGGGGAUCAUAGAGAUGCAGCUAUCUGUUGUUUUCUAGCUCUAAAAACGUUGUUAAUGUUCACCUGUCGGUAACUCUACAAAUGUAAUCAUCCUCGAACAAGGCUCUCCAUAUAAUUCCGAUCACACGUCACUUACAGGUGAGUUUGUUUGAUCUUGUAAUUAUACAUUAUAUCAUAUCAUCAUACAUUAUACAUUAUACAUCAUAUAUCAUGCAUCAUGCAUCAUGCAUCAUGCAUCAUGUGAUACAUAGUAUUAAAGUUCGAUACCAAAAUUUGGAUGACGGAUGUUCGGAUUUUCAGAAAGUGACGUCACCCAAAAUGUGUUUCUCUUGACGUCAUCGAUCUAUAGUUAUUGUCGACGACGAAAAUCAGCUGGCCGAAUUCCUCAGUCUGGAAACA